rnacentral:rRNA from 1 species
UACAGAGGGGGCAAGCGUUGUUCGGAAUUACUGGGCGUAAAGGGCGCGUAGGCGGCCCGUUAAGUCGAACGUGAAAUCCCCAGGCUCAACCUGGGAACUGCGUCCGAUACUGGCGGGCUUGAAUCCGGGAGAGGGAUGCGGAAUUCCAGGUGUAGCGGUGAAAUGCGUAGAUAUCUGGAGGAACACCGGUGGCGAAGGCGGCAUCCUGGACCGGCAUUGACGCUGAGGCGCGAAGCCAGGGAGCAAACGGG